UACGUAGGGGGCAAGCGUUGUCCGGAUUUAUUGGGCGUAAAGAGCGUGUAGGCGGUUAUACAGGUCCGAUGUGAAAACUGGAGGCUUAACCUCCAGACGUCGGUGGAAACCGUAUGACUAGAGUCCGGAAGAGGAGAGUGGAAUUCCUGGUGUAGCGGUGAAAUGCGCAGAUAUCAGGAAGAACACCCGUGGCGAAGGCGGCUCUCUGGGACGGUACUGACGCUGAGACGCGAAAGCGUGGGGAGCGAACAGG
rnacentral:rRNA from 1 species